rnacentral:ncRNA from 1 species
UGAUAGCGUUGAAGCGUGAGGUUGCUGCGAACUCAAAUCGCAGGUUUUCCGUGGAGCGAAUGUCAAGUUAUAAAACUGGCGACAA